ACAAGUUUUGUUGAAUCUUCCCCAACACCUCAUAAAUUAGGACAGAGGAGAGAUCUGUGCCUAGGCUAGUGGUGGACAUCCUGCUGUCGCAAAACUACUCUUGGGCAUGUUGAGAGUUGUAGUUCUCCACCAUGUUCACAGUUUGAAGAUCUCUGGCAUAGGCUGUAUACUACAGAAGAUGCACGUAUAUGGUGUGAAACGGCUGCUGUCGCCGCCUAGCUGUCCCCCCCGUGUUGCACUUUUUCCUCUCCCCUGUUGUAUGCGAGUAUGUUUUGAAGAAAGAAGAAGUUCUGAAGAUGCAUUGGAAUAUUGAGAAAAUGUACAGAAAAAUCCAAGAAACGCGACUGUGUAGAACAAGAGGCUUGAACUCAGGCCGGAGCUCUGCUAGUACCGACAGGACACCGGAGUGUUAGACUGUAAAAUAUGCCGGGACUUCAACAAAUUCUUCAGGCUGGUGCAGCUAUUUAUAACACUUUCUUUCUGGCCACCGGUCAAAGUUUUUCUGGUGAAUUUGUUGGGAGUGGAGCCCAGACCGCGCAGACUUUGGCCUGCCAGGCACAGCAGACCCCACCCAUCGGAAAAAGACUGCCUGUUUCACGACUGUGUCGUCAGCUCUGCUCUAUAAUCCCCGAGCCCAUGUCACCAGCCGAAAACUGACAGAUUAACAGGAACGGGAACGUCGCAGACCACACAGGGCUAAACCCGGCUUUAGAGGAUCCACACUGACCACAUCUUUCCUUGAUAGAAGAUUUAGAAAAACACAAACAAAUGCCUGGUGACCAGCGUCAUACAUUACGGGUGUAUA